rnacentral:rRNA from 1 species
CAAUGCCUACGGGACGCAGCAGUGGGGAAUAUUGCACAAUGGGGGAAAACCUGAUGCAGCGACGCCGCGUGAGUGAAGAAGUAUUUCGGUAUGUAAAGCUCUAUCAGCAGGGAAGAAAAUGACGGUACCUGACUAAGAAGCCCCGGCUAACUACGUGCCAGCAGCCGCGGUAAUACGUAGGGGGCAAGCGUUAUCCGGAUUUACUGGGUGUAAAGGGAGCGUAGACGGCGCGGCAAGUCUGAAGUGAAAGGCAGGGGCUUAACCCCUGAACUGCUUUGGAAACUGCCAUGCUA